GACGAACGCUGGCGGCGUGCCUAAUACAUGCAAGUCGAGCGCAGGAAGCUGACGGAACUCUUCGGAGAGAAGGCAGUGGAAUGAGCGGCGGACGGGUGAGUAACACGUAAGGAACCUGCCUCAAGGAUUGGGAUAACUCCGAGAAAUCGGAGCUAAUACCGGAUAGUUCAACGGACCGCAUGGUCCGCGGAUGAAAGGCGCUUCGGCGUCACCUUGAGAUGGCCUUGCGGUGCAUUAGCUAGUUGGUGGGGUAACGGCCCACCAAGGCGACGAUGAAUAGCCGACCUGAGGGGGUGAUCGGCCACACUGGGACUGGAACACGGCCCAGACUCCUACGGGAGGCAGCAGUAGGGAAUCUUCCACAAUGGACGAAAGUCUGAUGGAGCAACGCCGCGUGAGUGAUGAAGGUUUUCGGAUCGUAAAACUCUGUUGUAAGGGAAGAACACGUACGAGAGGGAAUGCUCGUACCUUGACGGUACCUUACGAGAAAGCCACGGCUAACUACGUGCCAGCCGCCGCCGUAA
rnacentral:rRNA from 1 species